UACAACGAGUCGCAAGCUCGCGAGAGUAAGCUAAUCUCUUAAAGCCGUUCUCAGUUCGGACUGUAGGCUGCAACUCGCCUACACGAAGUCGGAAUCGCUAGUAAUCGCGGAUCAGCAUGCCGCGGUGAAUACGUUCCCGGGCCUUGUACACACCGCCCGUCACACCAUGGGAGUUUGUAACGCCCAAAGUCGGUGGCCUAACCUUUAUGGAGGGAGCCGCUUAAGGCGGGACAGAUGACUGGGGUGAAGUCGUAACAAGGUAGC
rnacentral:rRNA from 1 species